rnacentral:rRNA from 1 species
UGGGGAAUAUUGGACAAUGGGGGCAACCCUGAUCCAGCAAUGCCGCGUGUGUGAAGAAGGUUUUCGGAUUGUAAAGCACUUUCGACGGGGACGAUGAUGACGGUACCCGUAGAAGAAGCCCCGGCUAACUUCGUGCCAGCAGCCGCGGUAAUACGAAGGGGGCUAGCGUUGCUCGGAAUGACUGGGCGUAAAGGGCGUGUAGGCGGUUUGUACAGUCAGAUGUGAAAUCCCCGGGCUUAACCUGGGAGCUGCAUUUGAUACGUGCAGACUAGAGUGUGAGAGAGGGUUGUGGAAUUCCCAGUGUAGAGGUGAAAUUCGUAGAUAUUGGGAAGAACACCGGUGGCGAAGGCGGCAACCUGGCUCAUAACUGACGCUGAGGCGCGAAAGCGUGGGGAGCAAACAGGAUUGGAUACCCUGGUAGUCCACGCUGUAAACGAUGUGUGCUAGAUGUUGGGUAACUUAGUUAUUCAGUGUCGCAGUUAACGCGUUAAGCACACCGCCUGGGGAGUACGGCCGCAAGGUUGAAACUCUA